CGGGGCUAACACCGGAUAAUAUAUUGAACCGCAUGGUUCAAUAGUGAAAGACGGUUUUGCUGUCACUUAUAGAUGGAUCCGCGCCGCAUUAGCUAGUUGGUAAGGUAACGGCUUACCAAGGCAACGAUGCGUAGCCGACCUGAGAGGGUGAUCGGCCACACUGGAACUGAGACACGGUCCAG
rnacentral:rRNA from 1 species